CCAUUAAAAUGUGCAAAGUAGGAUCGUGGAAUCUGCCUAACCAGCUAGAAUUAACGCCUAAGCGUCUCCUUCCACAGUUCCAUCCUAGAAGACAGAAGAUAAGGAUUUGAAUCUAUGCGUAUACUGUCAGAUGUGGGAGCUGGCCAAUCCUGGAACUGUGACAUAUUUGCUGAGGUGAACAUUAUUGGCACUGCAUCCUCCAUUCUUGCCCUACGAAUGAACAUUGAGAAAAGGAAGAAAAGAAGACCGAAUCUCUGUAUUUCGCUGGAACCGUUUCCUAAAUUACCCCUGAUUAAAAUCACCAUAAUGAUAA